rnacentral:lncRNA from 1 species
GCUUUCUCUAAGCCAGACCUGAUCACCUGUCUGGAGCAAGGAAAAGAGCCCUGGAAUAUGAAGCGACAUGAGAUGGUGGAUGAAACCCCAGAGUCUCCCUGGAUUACUCAGCGUGAUCUGAAACUCCUGGUCUCUAGUGUUCUGACAGCCUUGGCCUCCUAAAACUAUAAGAUUACAGUCAUGAGCCCACAGUGCCUGCCCCCAUGUAGCAUUUUUUCAUAAAACUGUGCUAGUGGUGAUGAACACCCUCA